CAAGGAAAAAUAUCCACAGAU
rnacentral:piRNA from 1 species